GAUGAAGAACGUAGCGAAAUGCGAUAAGUAAUGUGAAUUGCAGAAUUCAGUGAAUCAUCGAAUCUUUGAACGCACAUUGCGCCCGCCAGUAUUCUGGCGGGCAUGCCUGUUCGAGCGUCAUUACAACCCUCAGGCCCCCGGGCCUGGCGUUGGGGAUCGGCGGAAGCCCCCUGCGGGCACAACGCCGUCCCCCAAAUGCAGUGGCGGUCCCGCCGCAGCUUCCAUUGCGUAGUAGCUAACACCUCGCAACUGGAGAGCGGCGCGGCCACGCCGUAAAACACCCAACUUCUGAAUGUUGACCUCGAAUCAGGUAGGAAUACCCGCUGAACUUAAGCAUAUCAAUAAGCGGAGGA
rnacentral:misc_RNA from 1 species